CGGCAAACGGGUGAGUAAUACGUAAGUAACCUUCCUCUAAGCGGGGGAUAGCCCACCGAAAGGUGGAUUAAUACUGCAUAACAUUGCAACUCGGCAUCGAGAUGCAAUUAAACAUCCGCAAGGAUGGCUAAGAGACGGACUUACGGCCUAUCAGCUAGUUGGGGGGGUAAUGGCCCACCAAGGCGACGACGGGUAGCCGACCUGAAAGGGUGAUCGGCCACACUGACACUGAGACACGGGUCAG
rnacentral:rRNA from 1 species